UACGUAGGGACCGAGCGUUGUCCGGAUUCAUUGGGCGUAAAGAGCUCGUAGGCGGCCACUCAAGUCGAAUGUGAAACCUCGAGGCUUAACCUCGAGCCUGCAUUCGAUACUGGAUGGCUAGAGUGUGGGAGAGGGAUGCGGAAUUCCAGGUGUAGCGGUGAAAUGCGUAGAUAUCUGGAGGAACACCGGUGGCGAAGGCGGCAUCCUGGACCAUGACUGACACUGAAAAGCGAAAGCCAGGGGAGCAAACAGG
rnacentral:rRNA from 1 species